GUUGUUUUAGUCCCAUCCCCAUCCCAGUGGAAGAACCGCUUACCUCGAAGUCUUUGUCAGUGAGAUAGAUCUCAAGCUUCAGAGGAUCGACCCCCUCCGGGAGCGGCCUGGCCAGGAGGUCGGCCAGCGGGGAAACAUAUUGGUGAAUGUCAGAGGCUCCAGACCAGCAUGGAUAAGGUGCGUUAGAGGGAGCCUCACCUUUGCAGUACUGGAGCACGGUCUCCAUCGCGCUCUUCCGGUCGGAGGCCCAGCGGAUGCGGGCAGAACCAGGGAUCUUGUUCUCGAUGGGCCACCAGCCUU